ensembl:lncRNA
CUGGAUGUGAGGAUGGGGCACUCUUUGCUCUGCAUGACGGGCUUAUUGUUUCGUUGGUAUCUGCUGUGCUGCUGCUUCACUCUCUCUCUAUACAGAAAGUUGUCGAAGUUUUCAGACGUGUCACUGCUGGAUGUGAGGAUGGGAGCCACUUUGCUCUGUGAGCUGGGCCUAUUCUUGCUCUGUACGCUCGUCUGCACUGGACACGCUCAAGUUGCUGUGCUAACUAUUGAACCCAACUGGUCCAGUUAUUUCAUUGGAGAGUCUGUUAACCUCAAGUGUGACAUGAAUGAAGGAAAAGACACUGACUGGUAUUAUAAAAUCAACAAGGAUGGUCGAGAGUAUGUCCGCUACAGGGAGAACAAAGACUACACAUUAGAAAUUAGCUCUACAGGUGACAGUGGUGAAUAUCAGUGCUCUGGUAGCUGGAAGGGGACAAAUUAUACAAAGAACAGUAAUACUGUCUUUAUAACUGUAUU